GAGAUAGGAGAAAACCGCCCUGUGGCUGGAGUCUCUCGUCCCACCUGACGAGAGAUACCCACAGGUGUGGAGGGGCAGGCCACCCCUUCAUCUGCCGCCAAUGUGGGUGCCUUUCUCUAAGGUGAAGGUACAUUAAGAACGUGAGCAUUGAGGACAGUCGACGAGAGAUUCCCGAGUACGUCCACCGUCAGCCUUGCGUUUCUACAGUUUAAACCGUGGUGGAUCGAUGGAGUACAAGAACAGAAAUUUAAAGUUCUACAAUGAACCCCUUGGAGAUGCGAAGAAAAGCGCCUCUGCGGAGACAAAAAACCCUCAAUUGAGCAUCAUCGACUCGCCAGUCCACAGGUGUAUCCACCAGCUCCGAAGAGACAGCGACCAGCAAGAACGGGCCAUAACGACGAUGGCAGUUUUGUCAAAAAGGGGGAUAUGUAGGGAAAAGAGAGAUCCGACUGUUACUGUGUCUACAUAGAAAAGGAAGACAUAAGAAACUCCAUUUUGAUCUGUACCCUGAACAAUUGUUUUGCCUUGAGAUGCUGUUAAUAUGUAACUUUAGCCCCAACCUUGUGCUCACGGAAAUAUGUGUUGUAUGGAAUCAAGGUUUAAGGGAUCUAGGGCUGUGCAGGAUGUGCCUUGUUAACAAAAUGUUUACAGGCAGUAUGCUUGGUAAAAGUCAUCGCCAUUCUCCAUUCUCGAUUAACCAGGGGCACAAUGCACUGCAGAAAGCCACAGGGACCUCUGCCCAGGAAAGCCAGGUAUUGUCCAAGGUUUCUCCCCACUGAGACAGCCUGAGGUAUGGCCUCGUGGGACGGGAAAGACCUGACCAUCCCCCAGCCCGACACCCGUGAAGGGUCUGUGCUGAGGAGGAUUAGUAAAAGAGGAAGGCCUCUUGCGGUUGAGAUAAGAGGAAGGCCUCUGUCUCCUGCAUGCCCCUGAGAACGGAAUGUCUCAGUAUAAUACCCGAUUGUACAUUCGUUCUAUUCUGAGAUAGGAGAAAACCGCCCUGUGGCUGGAGGCGAGAUAUGCUGGUGGCAAUACUGCUGUGUUAUUCUUUACUACACUGAGAUGUUUGGGUGGAGAGAAGCAUAUAUCUGGCCUAUGUGCACAUCCAGGCAUAGUACCUUCCCUUGAACUUAUUUGUGACACAGAUUCCUUUGCUCACAUGUUUUCUUGCUGACCUUCUCCCCGCUAUCACCCUGUUCUCCUGCUGCAUUCCCCUUGCUGAGACAGUGAAAAUAAUAAUCAGUAAAUGCUGAGGGAACUCAGAGACUGGGGCCAGUGCAGGUCCUCCGUACGCUGAGCGCUGGUCUCCUGGGCCCAGUGUUCUUUCUCUAUA
ensembl:lncRNA novel transcript